rnacentral:rRNA from 1 species
AUUGCCCUAGUAACGGCGAGUGAAGCGGCAACAGCUCAAAUUUGAAAUCUGGCCCUUGGGUCCGAAUUGUAAUUUGUAGAGGAUGCUUUUGGUGCGGUGCCUUCCGAGUUCCCUGGAACGGGACGCCUUAGAGGGUGAGAGCCCCGUACGGUUGGACACCUAGCCUCUGUAAAGCUCCUUCGACGAGUCGAGUAGUUUGGGAAUGCUGCUCUAAAUGGGAGGUAAAUUUCUUCUAAAGCUAAAUAUUGGCCAGAGACCGAUAGCGCACAAGUAGAGUGAUCGAAAGAUGAAAAGUACUUUGAAAAGAGGGUUAAAUAGCACGUGAAAUUGUUAAAAGGGAAGCGUUUAUGACCAGACUUUUUCUAAGCAAAUCAUCCGGUGUUCUCACCGGUGCACUUUGUCUAGUUUAGGCCAGCAUCGGUUUCUGUCGAGGGAUAAAAUCUUCAGGAAUGUGGCUCCCCCGGGAGUGUUAUAGCCUGUUGAAUAAUACCUUGACGGGGACCGAGGUUCGCGCAUCUGCAAGGAUGCUGGCGUAAUGGUCAUCAACGACCCGUCUUGAAACACGGACCAAGGAGUCGAACAUUUGUGCGAGUGUUUGGGUGUUAAACCCUCACGCGUAAUGAAAGUGAACGGAGGUGAGAGCCCUUACGGGUGCAUCAUCGACCGAUCCUGAAGUUUUCGGAUGGAUUUGAGUAAGAGCAUAAAUGUUCGGACCCGAAAGAUGGUGAACUAUGCGUGGAUAGGGUGAAGCCAGAGGAAACUCUGGUGGAGGCUCGCAGCGGUUCUGACGUGCAAAUCGAUCGUCAAAUCUGCGCAUGGGGGCGAAAGACUAAUC